rnacentral:tRNA from 2 species
GGGGACGUAACUCAGUUGGGAGAGUGCUACCUUCGCAAGGUAGAAGUCGAGAGUUCAAAUCUCUUCGUCUCCACCA